UUGAUUUGGAGUUUCGUAGCUCCAGUUAUAAAUGAUUUAGUGACUGUUGCUCAGGAAGACAGCUUGCAGUGAAAUUAUGAUUAUGUGGUAAACAUUAACAAAAAUUUGUUAAUGAGUUGCUUAUUGUUUUCUUAUAAGCUUACUAUGAUCUGUAGGUGUGGUUGGCCGAAUAUUGUAAGGGGUUAAUACGUAGUUCGUAUUUGAAUAGUUAGAUUAACGUGUUAGUAAUCCAAUUGU
rnacentral:lncRNA from 1 species